rnacentral:rRNA from 1 species
UAUAGAUGGAUCCGCGCUGCAUUAGCUAGUUGGUAAGGUAACGGCUUACCAAGGCAACGAUGCAUAGCCGACCUGAGAGGGUGAUCGGCCACACUGGAACUGAGACACGGUCCAGACUCCUACGGGAGGCAGCAGUAGGGAAUCUUCCGCAAUGGGCGAAAGCCUGACGGAGCAACGCCGCGUGAGUGAUGAAGGUCUUCGGAUCGUAAAACUCUGUUAUUAGGGAAGAACAUAUGUGUAAGUAACUGUGCACAUCUUGACGGUACCUAAUCAGAAAGCCACGGCUAACUACGUGCCAGCAGCCGCGGUAAUACGUAGGUGGCAAGCGUUAUCCGGAAUUAUUGGGCGUAAAGCGCGCGUAGGCGGUUUUUUAAGUCUGAUGUGAAAGCCCACGGCUCAACCGUGGAGGGUCAUUGGAAACUGGAAAACUUGAGUGCAGAAGAGGAAAGUGGAAUUCCAUGUGUAGCGGUGAAAUGCGCAGAGAUAUGGAGGAACACCAGUGGCGAAGGCGACUUUCUGGUCUGUAA